AGAUGUGAAGGCGAUCUGGUUGCAACAUCUGCCAUCCCAUUGAUCACCAGGGUUGAUUCAGCUGAUCUGGCUGACUAGGCGGGUGUGCCCUCCUGUCUCACCACUCCAUGUAUGUCCCUUCCCAAAGUUGCGCAAUUGGUAGAAGAGGACGACCAUCCCCACUAGAGGAGGAAUGUUCUUUGGUCAAGGGUUUAUGAGUAGCUGCACUCCCCUGCUAGAAUCUUCAAACAAGCUCCCAAGAAACUGCCAAACCAUUUAUAAAGCAGUUAUUUCAUUGCAUAUUUCUGCCAGUAAUGUAUAAGAGUUCUGGUUGCUCCAUAUUCUUGCCAACAUUUGGUGGUCAUAAAUUCU
rnacentral:snRNA from 1 species